AUUGAACGCUGGCGGAAUGCUUUACACAUGCAAGUCGAACGGCAGCACGGGGCAACCUGGUGGCGAGUGGCGAACGGGUGAGUAAUACAUCGGAACGUGCCCAAUCGUGGGGGAUAACGUAGCGAAAGUUACGCUAAUACCGCAUACGAUCUACGGAUGAAAGCGGGGGAUCGCAAGACCUCGCGCGAAUGGAGCGGCCGAUGUCAGAUUAGGUAGUUGGUGGGGUAAAGGCUCACCAAGCCAACGAUCUGUAGCUGGUCUGAGAGGACGACCAGCCACACUGGAACUGAGACACGGUCCAGACUCCUACGGGAGGCAGCAGUGGGGAAUUUUGGACAAUGGGCGCAAGCCUGAUCCAGCCAUUCCGCGUGCAGGAUGAAAGGCCUUCGGUUGGUAAACUGCUUUUGUACGGUAACGAAACGGCGAGCUCUAAUACAGUUUGCUAAUGACGUACCGUAAGAAUAAGACACCGGCUAACUACGU
rnacentral:rRNA from 1 species